CCAAGGAGUCUAACAUGUGCGCGAGUCGUAGGGUUACGCUCAAAGCCCGAAGGCGCAAUGAAAGUGAAGGUCGGCCUCGAUUGCCGUUUACCUAGGCGGGAUCCGUUCGGGCUUACCGGUCGUUCGCGGCUGAGCCCGGCGGCGCACCGCCGGCCCGUCUCGACCGCAUCGCCGGUGAGGCGGAGCGAGAGCGUACACGUUGGGACCCGAAAGAUGGUGAACUAUGCCCGGGCAGGACGAAGCCAGAGGAAACUCUGGUGGAGGUCCGUAGCGAUUCUGACGUGCAAAUCGAUCGUCGGACCUGGGUAUAGGGGCGAAAGACUAAUCGAACCAUCUAGUAGCUGGUUCCYUCCGAAGUUUCCCUCAGGAUAGCUGGUGCUCGAGGAGGGCAGUCUCAUCCGGUAAAGCGAAUGAUUAGAGGCCUUGGGGCCGAAACGACCUCAACCUAUUCUCAAACUUUCAAUGGGUGAGAAGUCCGGCUUGCUUGACUGAAGCCCGGACGUCGGAUGCGAGCGCCCAGUGGGCCACUUUUGGUAAGCAGAACUGGCGCUGUGGGAUGAACCAAACGCCGGGUUACGGCGCCCGAUGCGGACGCUCAUAAGACCCCAUGAAAGGUGUUGGUUGCUAUAGACAGCAGGACGGUGGCCAUGGAAGUCGGAA
rnacentral:rRNA from 1 species